rnacentral:tRNA from 1 species
GCCGCUAUGGUGAAAUCGGUAGACACGCUGCUCNUUAGGAAGCAGUGCUAGAGCAUCUCGGUUCGAGUCCGAGUGGCGGCA